UGAUAGCGUAGAAGCGUGAGGUUGCUGCGGUAUCCCCGCAGGUUUUCCGUGGAGCGAAUGUCAAGUUAUAAAACUGGCGACAA
rnacentral:ncRNA from 1 species